UUGCUACUUUGCCGGCGAGCGGCGGACGGGUGAGUAAUGUCUGGGAAACUGCCUGAUGGAGGGGGAUAACUACUGGAAACGGUAGCUAAUACCGCAUAACGUCGCAAGACCAAAGAGGGGGACCUUCGGGCCUCUUGCCAUCAGAUGUGCCCAGAUGGGAUUAGCUAGUAGGUGGGGUAACGGCUCACCUAGGCGACGAUCCCUAGCUGGUCUGAGAGGAUGACCAGCCACACUGGAACUGAGACACGGUCCAGACUCCUACGGGAGGCAGCAGUGGGGAAUAUUGCACAAUGGGCGCAAGCCUGAUGCAGCCAUGCCGCGUGUAUGAAGAAGGCCUUCGGGUUGUAAAGUACUUUCAGCGGGGAGGAAGGYGUUGAGGUUAAUAACCUCAGCRAUUGACGUUACCCGCAGAAGAAGCACCGGCUAACUCCGUGCCAGCAGCCGCGGUAAUACGGAGGGUGCAAGCGUUAAUCGGAAUUACUGGGCGUAAAGCGCACGCAGGCGGUCUGUCAAGUCGGAUGUGAAAUCCCCGGGCUCAACCUGGGAACUGCAUUCGAAACUGGCAGGCUAGAGUCUUGUAGAGGGGGGGUAGAAUUCCAGGUGUAGCGGUGAAAUGCGUAGAGAUCUGGAGGAAUACCGGUGGCGAAGGCGGCCCCCUGGACAAGACUGACGCU
rnacentral:rRNA from 1 species